rnacentral:rRNA from 1 species
UACAGAGGGUGCAAGCGUUGUUCGGAAUUAUUGGGCGUAAAGGGUAGGUAGGUGGUCUCAUUUGUCUGGGGUGAAAUCCUUGGGCUUAACCCAAGAAGUGCCCCAGAAACGGUGAGACUGGAGUCCUGGAGAGGUGCGUGGAAUUCCUGGUGUAGCGGUGAAAUGCGUAGAUAUCAGGAGGAACACCUGUGGCGAAAGCGGCGCACUGGACCACAACUGACGCUGAGGCGCGAAAGCUAGGGGAGCGAAUGGG